rnacentral:rRNA from 1 species
UACGUAGGGUGCGAGCGUUGUCCGGAAUUAUUGGGCGUAAAGGGCUCGUAGGCGGUCUGUCGCGUCGGGAGUGAAAACUCAGGGCUUAACCCUGAGCCUGCUUCCGAUACGGGCAGACUAGAGGUAUGCAGGGGAGAACGGAAUUCCUGGUGUAGCGGUGGAAUGCGCAGAUAUCAGGAGGAACACCGAUGGCGAAGGCGGGUCUCUGGGCCAUAACUGACGCUGAGGAGCGAAAGCGUGGGGAGCGAACAGG